GAGAGUCUUGAGUAAUUUGCUGAGCAACUGAGUGGUUGGAGGGCCACCUACUGAUGUAAGCAACAGGAAGAGGAAGGGAAUCCUCUUCUGGAGGAAGUGUGAGCACUGUGAGUCCACCUCAUCCUGGAAGGGGGUUUUUGCUGCUGUAUGUGAACUUGGUUGUAGCAUGUGCGGCCUAGUUCCCUGACCAGGGAUCAAACCUGGGUCCUCGGCAUUGGAAGUGUGGUGUCUUAGCCACUGGACCACCAGGGAAGUCCUUGAAAUCUGGACAUAAAACUCCCAUGUGGAAGCUAUACCAGGAGGAAAGAAACAUUCUUAUCACUAAAGAUGAGGAAUUGAGGCACACACAGACUGGGUUAAUCUAACUCGUAGCUUCCUAUGGCUGUUGUUCAGUUGCUAAGUCGUGUGCUGUUACUUUUCCAUGCCUGAGAGACCUAGCUCUGGUGCUUCUCAGGGCUCGUAAAGGCCUGGAACUGUCUUUGCUGAUUCUGUUCUGUUCUUCGUGGUGAAGAGGGGAGAAAACGUAUGUCCUGCUUUUAGGCAAAUAGUGGGAGAGCAGAAAGGUUUCCUUGUAGCUGCAUUGCUUUGGGCUGAAAAUAAUCCUUACUGCUAAGCACCAUAAUUGGGAGUAGAGGUUGCAAGUUCUGCUGUCUCUUGGCACAAACAGAAAAAUGACACUUUGAAAUGAAGCAGGACCCUGUGGUCCUUGCCCACCACCGCGUCCCCCACGUGCCUUUUGUUUGUGAAAAAACUUUAGCCAAAGAAGAAGUUUAACCAGAGAAGUGAGAAAAUGCAGAAACAAAGCAACACAGUCAACGAAGACCAAAUAAUAAAGUCAUCAAGCAUCUGCUGGAGGAAGGCAUGGCAACCCAUUCCAGUGUUCUUGCUGGGAAAAUCCCACAGACAGAGGAGCCUUGCAGGCUAUGGCACACGGAGUCACAAAGAGCUGGACACAACUGAAGUGACUGAGCGUCAAACAUAGUCAAGGACAUUUAGUUCCCUCUCAAGGGCUAUAGAUAAUAUUCUGUGCCAUGUCCCAUGAGCUCUUAGACUGAAACCACCACCAGGUGUAAGAAGUUAACUACAUGAUGACUGGACUGUAGCCAUGACAGAAGCUGCCAUAGUUCUGAGAUCUGGGCUCAAGAAAUGGGGACAAACCGAUCCUGGAACUGAAGAUUAACUCUACUUAAAACAACCAAGAUGAAGAUGGUCAGAUGACCAAUUUCAAGAUGACUGUCAGAGCUGACUGUGCUGUUUCUACAUGAAGCCUCCUCCAUCUGGCUAUAAAAGCUCUUGCCCACUGAUUGUCAUGGAUGGGGGGAGAGACGGCUUCUGGACAGGUGUCCACCCUCCCCCUACCCUGGGUUGCUGGCAUCCAAAAUAAAGCAAGCUUUCCUUUCCACCAAUUCAGCCUCUUUACUGGCUUUUGAGUGGCAAGCAGCUGGACCCCAGUUUCGGUUACAACUUUAUACAUGUAUUCCCCCCUCCAUCUCUGUCCCAAAUACAUGACUCUGGUCAGUCAGACUGGAAGUCUGGCUGCUGCUUGGUUUCUGUUGAGGCCAGAGGCAGUGCCCACUAGAAAACCACAGCCUCAGAAAAGAGUCUUGAAAGGGGGGCAGGGGGAUUAUGGGGUGUCCCCAACUAGAGAGGAUGCGGGAUCACUCAGAGCUGAGGAACAGAAAGAUGCACAUUUUGAAUGUCUAUUUUAAAAUGCUUAUAAAUAAACAUGAAGAGGGUUUGCUUUUUGUUUUUACCGUGGAGCUAUGACACGUUGUCUUGAAGCUGCCAGACACAGUAUCUGUCGCAUCAAAGAAAGGACUGCGAAUGAGACACAGAGUAAAUGACUAAUCUCCCUUCUGGCCUGUGGCCCCUCCGUCAGUGCUGAACAGCAGGUUGGGGAUUUAUUUUCAGGGCUCAAAAGAGAGAGAUGGGGGUGUCAGCCAAGAGCCAGGGAGUCUACCUGACCCUCAGCACCUCCACCCACCCCGGUUCCUUCUCUCCUCCCCACGGACAUAUUGAGUG
ensembl:lncRNA